rnacentral:rRNA from 1 species
AGAACUUAGCAGAGAUGCUUUGGUGCCUUCGGGAACUCUGAGACAGGUGCUGCAUGGCUGUCGUCAGCUCGUGUUGUGAAAUGUUGGGUUAAGUCCCGCAACGAGCGCAACCCUUAUCCUUUGUUGCCAGCGGCUCGGCCGGGAACUCAAAGGAGACUGCCGGUGAUAAACCGGAGGAAGGUGGGGAUGACGUCAAGUCAUCAUGGCCCUUACGGCCAGGGCUACACACGUGCUACAAUGGCGCAUACAAAGAGAAGCGACCUCGCGAGAGCAAGCGGACCUCAUAAAGUGCGUCGUAGUCCGGAUUGGAGUCUGCAACUCGACUCCAUGAAGUCGGAAUCGCUAGUAAUCGUAGAUCAGAAUGCUACGGUGAAUACGUUCCCGGGCCUUGUACACACCGCCCGUCACACCAUGGGAGUGGGUUGCAAAAGAAGUAGGUAGCUUAAUCUUCGGGAGGGCGCUUACCACUUUGUGAUUCAUGACUGGGGUGAAGUCGUAACAAGGUAGGCGUAGCGAG